GCCUAAUACAUGCAAGUCGAGCGAACAGAAAAGGAGCUUGCUCCUUUGACGUUAGCGGCGGACGGGUGAGUAACACGUGGGCAACCUACCCUAUAGUUUGGGAUAACUCCGGGAAACCGGGGCUAAUACCGAAUAAUCUCCUUUACUUCAUGGUGAAGGACUGAAAGACGGUUUCGGCUGUCGCUAUAGGAUGGGCCCGCGGCGCAUUAGCUAGUUGGUGAGGUAACGGCUCACCAAGGCGACGAUGCGUAGCCGACCUGAGAGGGUGAUCGGCCACACUGGGACUGAGACACGGCCCAGACUCCUACGGGAGGCAGCAGUAGGGAAUCUUCCACAAUGGGCGAAAGCCUGAUGGAGCAACGCCGCGUGAGUGAAGAAGGUUUUCGGAUCGUAAAACUCUGUUGUAAGGGAAGAACAAGUACAGUAGUAACUGGCUGUACCUUGACGGUACCUUAUUAGAAAGCCACGGCUAACUACGUGCCAGCAGCCGCGGUAAUACGUAGGUGGCAAGCGUUGUCCGGAAUUAUUGGGCGUAAAGCGCGCGCAGGCGGUCCUUUAAGUCUGAUGUGAAAGCCCACGGCUCAACCGUGGAGGGUCAUUGGAAACUGGGGGACUUGAGUGCAGAAGAGGAAAGUGGAAUUCCAAGUGUAGCGGUGAAAUGCGUAGAGGUUUGGAGGAACACCAGUGGCGAAGGCGACUUUCUGGUCUGUAACUGAC
rnacentral:rRNA from 1 species